rnacentral:rRNA from 1 species
AUUGAACGCUGGCGGCAGGCCUAACACAUGCAAGUCGAACGGAGUGGCGGACGGGUGAGUAAUAUAUCGGAACGUGCCCAGUAGCGGGGGAUAACUACUGGAAAGGGUGGCUAAUACCGCAUACUAUCGGAUCUGCCGAGAUGGGAUUAGCUAGUUGGUGGGGUAAAGGCUCACCAAGGCAACGAUCCGUAGCUGGUCUGAGAGGAUGACCAGCCACACUGGGACUGAGACACGGCCCAGACUCCUACGGGAGGCAGCAGUGGGGAAUAUUGGACAAUGGGGGAAACCCUGAUGCAGCCAUCCCGCGUGUAUGAAGAAGGCCUUCGGGUUGUAAAGUACUUUUGGCAGGGAAGCGGUAUCUGCAGAAUAAGCACCGGCUAACUACGUGCCAGCCGCCGCGGUAAUAC